UGGGGUAACGGCUCACCAAGGCGACGAUACAUAGCCGACCUGAGAGGGUGAUCGGCCACACUGGGACUGAGACACGGCCCAGACUCCUACGGGAGGCAGCAGUAGGGAAUCUUCGGCAAUGGACGGAAGUCUGACCGAGCAACGCCGCGUGAGUGAAGAAGGUUUUCGGAUCGUAAAGCUCUGUUGUAAGAGAAGAACGAGUGUGAGAGUGGAAAGUUCACACUGUGACGGUAUCUUACCAGAAAGGGACGGCUAACUACGUGCCAGCAGCCGCGGUAAUACGUAGGUCCCGAGCGUUGUCCGGAUUUAUUGGGCGUAAAGCGAGCGCAGGCGGUUAGAUAAGUCUGAAGUUAAAGGCUGUGGCUUAACCAUAGUACGCUUUGGAAACUGUUUAACUUGAGUGCAAGAGGGGAGAGUGGAAUUCCAUGUGUAGCGGUGAAAUGCGUAGAUAUAUGGAGGAACACCGGUGGCGAAAGCGGCUCUCUGGCUUGUAACUGACGCUGAGGCUCGAAAGCGUGGGGAGCAAACCAGGAUUAGAUACCCUGGUAGUCCACGCCGUAAACGAUGAGUGAUGGGUGUUAGACCCUUCCGGGGUUUAGUGCCGCAGCAAACGCAUUAAGCACUCCGCCUGGGGAGUACGACCGCAAGGUUGAAACUCAAAGGAAUUGACGGGGGCCCGCACAAGCGGUGGAGCAUGUGGUUUAAUUUGAAGCAACGCGAAGAACCUUACCAGGUCUUGACAUCCCUCUGACCGCUCUAGAGAUAGAGCUUUCCUUCGGGACAGAGGUGACAGGUGGUGCAUGGUUGUCGUCAGCUCGUGUCGUGAGAUGUUGGGUUAAGUCCCGCAACGAGCGCAACCCCUAUUGUUAGUUGCCAUCAUUUAGUUGGGCACUCUAGCGAGACUGCCGGUAAUAAACCGGAGGAAGGUGGGGAUGACGUCAAAUCAUCAUGCCCCUUAUGACCUGGCGUACACACGUGCUACAAUGGCUGGUACAACGAGUCGCAAGCCGGUGACGGCAAGCUAAUCUCUUAAAGCCAGUCUCAGUUCGGAUUGUAGGCUGCAACUCGCCUACAUGAAGUCGGAAUCGCUAGUAAUCGCGGAUCAGCACGCCGCGGUGAAUACGUUCCCGGGCCUUGUACUCACCGCCCGUCAA
rnacentral:rRNA from 1 species